rnacentral:rRNA from 1 species
UCUCUGAUGUGGUCCGUCAUCGGAAUGAGAACAAUCUAAACCCUUUAACGGGGACCUAGCGGAGGGCAAGUCUGGUGCCAGCAGCCGCGGUAAUUCCAGCUCCGCCAGUGUAUAUCUAUGCUGCUGCGGUUAAAAAGCUCGUAGUUGAUCUGCGUGCCAGCAGGCGGUCCGCCAAAUUUGGUGUGAACUGUCGUGCGGCACUGAAUGGCUGGUUUUCUCUUGGUGCCCUUAACCGGGUGUCCUGAGUGGCUAGCAAGUUUACUUUGAAAAAAUUAGAGUGCUCAAAACAAGCGACUUGCUUGAAUAGUGGUGCAUGGAAUAAUAGAAUAGGACCUUGUCUCUAUUUUGUUGGUUUUCGGAACACGAGGUAAUGAUUAAGAGGAACAGACGGGGACAUUCGUAUUGCGACGUUAGAGGUGAAAUUCUUGGAUCGUCGCAAGACGAACUACUGCGAAAGCAUUUGCCAAGAAUGUUUUCAUUAAUCAAGAACGAAAGUUAGAGGUUCGAAGGCGAUCAGAUACCGCCCUAGUUCUAACCGUAAACGAUGCCAACUAGCGAUGCACUGGUGUUUUCUUUGACCCAGUGUGGAGCUUCCCGGAAACGAAAGUUUUCCGGUUCCGGGGGAAGUAUGGUUGCAAAGCUGAAACUUAAAGGAAUUGACGGAAGGGCACCACCAGGAGUGGAGCCUGCGGCUUAAUUUGACACAACACGGGAAAACUCACCCGGCCCGGACACCGUAAGGAUUGACAGAUUGAGAGCUCUUUCUUGAUUCGGUGGGUGGUGGUGCAUGGCCGUUCUUAGUUGGUGGAGCGAUUUGUCUGGUUAAUUCCGAUAACGAACGAGACUCCGACCUACUAACUAGUGAGGCGAUCGCUUAGUCGUCGGCACUUCUUAGAGGGACAAGCGGUGUUCAGCCGCAUGAGAAGGAGCAAUAACAGGUCUGUGAUGCCCUUAGAUGUCCGGGGCUGCACGCGCGCUACACUGAAGGAAUCAGCGUGCUAGAAAACCUUGUUUGACAUGGCUAGGUAACCAAUUGAAAAUCCUUCGUGAUUGGGAUCGGGACUUGCAAAUGUGUCCCUUGAACGAGGAAUUCCCAGUAAGUGCGGGUCAUAAGCUCGCGCUGAUUACGUCCCUGCCCUUUGUACACACCGCCCGUCGCUGCCCGGGACUGAGCCGUUUCGAGAAGACUGGGGACGGCUGACUUUUGGCCUUCACGGGCUUUUGGUCGGCUGAAACCAU